rnacentral:rRNA from 1 species
GAUGAACGCUAGCGAUAGGCCUAACACAUGCAAGUCGAGGGGCAGCACAUGACGUAGCAAUACAGAUGGUGGCGACCGGCGCACGGGUGAGUAACACGUAUGCAACCUACCUUCAACAGGGGAAUAACCCGUCGAAAGACGGACUAAUACCCCAUAAUACAGGGCUCCCUCAUGGGAAUAUUUGUUAAAGAUUUAUCGGUUGAAGAUGGGCAUGCGUUCCAUUAGCUAGUUGGUGAGGUAACGGCUCACCAAGGCAACGAUGGAUAGGGGAACUGAGAGGAAGGUCCCCCACAUUGGUACUGAGACACGGACCAA